UGAUAAACUUUAAUACAAUUUUUGAGCUUUUUUUCUUUAAUAACUAAUAUUUUGUCAUAUGAUUAAUUAACUAUUUUUAUUUUCUGGGCAUCUGAUAGGGAUCCCUGGGGUUUCAGUGCAUCUCUUCUUUGUCUUCUGAUCCCUUUGAGAAAUGAGGAUUUAACAGGGCUUCUGAGUUGAACACCUUUCUUAAUUGAUAACACUAGCCUCUUUUUUUUGCUGCACUCUGAUACCCCUAUGCAAACCACUAGAUUAUUGGAGGAAAAAAUAAAGAAAAGUUACAGGAUAGAAAAAUAUGAAAAAUGAAUAAAUGAAAAUUUCUGACGACUAUUUUCUCCUUCUUUAAGUAACCUCUGAGAUGCUUUUCUGUUGUGUCUGGUAAUUGGGUCUAAGAAACAAAUGCGUGCCAAAAAUUUUGCACUGCUUGCCAAAUUAUAUUGGUCAUUGCUGGUGAUCUCCCAGAAUUGUGACGGGAUAUCUCUUUUUCCAAUAGCUUAAGAAAUAAACUUACAUGGAACUGUUCUUGGAUACAAUUUGACCAGAUCUUGCUAGUUGGGUUUUGCAUGUCUUUUCUAGGAUACUAUAAAUUUGGUUUCAACUCAGGUUUUAAGUCUUCGGAUCAAUAAUUGGGGAUAUUUUCUUUGCUUGCGUGUUCUUCUCCCUGGAAUUUUUUCAUGUGGUGUGACAUUUUAAUUUCUUUGGAGAGUAGUAUUUGUUAGAGAUUAUAUUAUUACAUGAUUUAUUGAAUUCAUAUUGUUUUAUGCUUGUGUAUCUGUUGCGAAGAUUCUGCUUCUUUUUUCUUUUCCUUUAAUUUAAGUUUUUGGAAGAUUCUGCUUCGCAUUCUUCUUUUUAUUGACCUAGCUGCAUGCUUGUCUUGAAACAUGUGUACAUUAACCUCCCGCUGUUAUUAUCUCUUCUUUUUGUUAAAUUAAGUUAUUAAUUAAUUUUAUAAAUUAUUUGAUAUUUGUUCCAUGUGUCUGUGUUUAGGUUUUUGAAGGAACUUCUGGAAUCGAUAAUAAGUUCACAACUGUACAGUUUACAGGCGAGGUGAAGUAUUUAUUUCUUGCCCUCUUACCCCUGUGCUAAUAGAAUGCCGAGCAGUGGCGGAGCCACAAUGGGGGUACUUGCCUCCACUGCCUUCAUUAUGCUCCUUUGCGUAAUAGGUUAUAAACUUGAAAGAAUUACAAACAUAGUAAUAAAUUCAACUGUUUGCCCCCACUAAGGUAUAAAUAAUGUUUAAAUAUAUGUAAUUUUAAGGUCUAUCCCAUUUGCAGUGAGUAUCAUUUAGAUCAUCUAAACUAUGAAAAAGUAUUGAUGACUAACAUACAUUAUUUUCUUGAUUUUUACUUUUGUCAAGCAUUUUUUAAACUUUUAUUUUUUGAUUGAAAAUUACUUAGAAUGAAGUUUUGUUUUGGCAGCUAUAUAUAUAUAUAUAUAUAUAUAUAUAUAUAUAUAUAUAUAUAUAUAUAUAUAUUGUAAAAAACCUACAAAAGAUGAUAGAAACAUGCAUGAUAAAUAUAUAGUGUCAAAUCCCGAUAGGGAUUCUUUCAAACUGAAAGUUAAUGUAAACUAUUUAUCAUCUUGCAACUUGUACAUCGGUCUAAUUUUCUUACACUUAACCAUACGUUUCAUAUCAAAGGUAUCCUAAUAAGACAAACAUAUGUGGAUGAUUGUAAAAUGAGAAAAUAUUUGGUCGACAACUUGAAAAUGAACUUGAAAUGGUAUACGAAAUUGGACUUGAAAAAAAAUAUACAAGAUACAGAAAUCAUCGUUAAAGCAUAUAGCUUAAUAAGUUUUGCCACCACUGAGAAGAAUUUCUGGCUCCGCCACUGAUUCUGGGACAACGUUUACAUGUAGAGCACUUCACUUAAAGGAAAUUCUGCAUUGGUUUCUGCUGUAAGCAUAUCAUGCCUUGAAUUUCACUACACUAUCUGUCCCAAUAUUGUUAUCCUUUAUUAAAAUUCAACUUUUUAUAAGAUGUACUUCAACUAAAUCUAUGCAUUUUAAAUGGCUUUUUCCCAUAGCUAAUCGCAUUAAGUAUUGCACAAAGAAGUAGUGUCUUUUAAUGAGGUAAAUAUUGGAAUUCUGCUUGGUCUUUCAUUUUAACUUCUGGAUUUGGACCCAUUUCAUAAAUUCAGGUGGAUAUUAAGACGAUAGAAUUGAGAAAGAGGGAGAUCUUUUCUGCCUUUAUAGUGUGAUUUUGUGUCACAUUAUCGUGGAGCAUUGUUCUCUUCUGACCGAUUGCUUCUAGUUGAUUUUCUCCUGUUUUACUAUACCUCAUUAUAACAUUAAUUUUCCUUUUUGACAAAUUCUUUGCAGGUUUUAAAAACUCCUGUCUCACUGGAUAUGCUUGGGCGCAUAUUUAAUGGUUCUGGGAAGCCUAUUGACAAUGGCCCUCCUAUUUUGCCUGAAGCUUACUUGGAUAUUUCUGGCAAGUAUUGCUAGAGGAGAAGUUUAGAUUUGUGAUUUUCUGUUAUACAUUUAAAUCAUGUUGACUUCUGCUACUUCAGGGAGUUCCAUCAAUCCUAGUGAGAGAACAUAUCCUGAGGAAAUGAUACAGACUGGGAUUUCUACAAUUGAUGUCAUGAACUCAAUUGCUAGGGGACAAAAAAUUCCGCUUUUCUCAGCUGCUGGUCUCCCGCAUAAUGAAAUUGCAGCCCAGAUCUGUCGUCAGGCUGGUUUGGUGAAGCGAUUGGAGAAAUCUGACAAUCUUCUUGAGGUAUAUAAUUGGAGUACUUUGCAGUUGAGAGCGAUGAUAUCGAAAUUUUUGGUGCAAUUGAUGUUUUUGUUUUCUAUUUAGUAGAAAUAUGAGUUGCCUGCUUUGAGUCAGUAGCAUUUGCUAAAUUAGCUGGUUUUUUACUUUGAAAAUUUGACAGCUUAUUGUGACAAUAUCUAGUCCCCUUUGCCUUUGUAAUUUAUGAAUGUGAUUAUUGAUGGAUUCUUGGUUUCCUUCUGUCUUACUACCGCUGUUUUCUGCGUAUUCAGAUUACUUUCUGAAUCUAAUUAAAUCUUACAGGAUGUAGAAGAGGACAAUUUUGCAAUUGUCUUUGCAGCUAUGGGAGUGAACAUGGAGACAGCACAGUUUUUUAAACGUGAUUUUGAGGAAAAUGGAUCUAUGGAGAGAGUGACUCUCUUCCUAAACCUGGUAAUUAAUUUUAAAUUAAAAUUUGAGUGAGUAUAGUGGUGUCUUUUGUUGGGGAGAUUACUUUCGUCAUAUAGGGGUUCGUUUGGUUCAUGGGAUGACACAGGAUUGGAUUACUAAUCGCGUGUCAUCCCAUUUUUGGUUGAUUUUUUUACAUGAAAUGAUACAUCCCACUAACAGAAUUAAUCCCCCAUAUGGAGGAUAAAAUAAUCCCAUGGGGGAGGUGGUAUAACUUAUCAUGGGAUGAGUAAGAGGUAGGAUAAUACCAAUUUGGACUUAUUUAUCUUUGCUAAUAGAAUAAUACUUUAUUCUAAAAGUUAUAUAACUCUACUCUCUUGCUAUAAUAUAAUCUAAAUUUUGGACUAAUUUGGCCUUGUUAAUGACAUAAAAAUUUUUGGAUAAAUUUGCCCCUACUUAUAAAAAAUUAAAUGUUGGACUAAUUUGCUCAUAUUAAUGAAAUAACUUAUUGUUGGACUAAUUUGCCCAUACUAUUAACAAAACUAAUUUUUUUAUUCAUUUGUCCAUAGUAAUGAAAUAAUUAAAAUUUUGGACAAAUGUGUCCAUAAUAAUAAAAAAUUUAUGUUUUCGACUAAUUUGCCCAUGCUAAUGAAAUAACUAAGUUUUGGACUAAUUUGCCCCUAUUAUUAAUAAAAUUAAUAUUUUGACUAAUUUGCGCUUACUAAAAAUUUUAGACUGAUUUACCCUACUAAAAACAAAACCCUAUUUUCUUGGUCAAUUUCAGUUCAUGAAAGGUUAGAUAUGUCAUUUGAGACUUGUAAGUUUGGCCUAAUCUGAACUAAGCUCAAAACUCCAAUAUAUUUGUGAUUUGAGUAUGGUCUCAUAGUGUUGGUCCGAAACCCAAAAUAAAAAAUUUCUACUUUUUACAAGCUGAGUUUGGGUUUAUCAAACCCAAUUAAUACUCCUAAUUGUUGGUUUGACAAAAGGGUAUUUUGGUCUAUAAUUACAUAAUCCCACCUCAUCCUAUCUCUAAACAAGCAUAGGAUGAUGUUAUUUCCUAUCACAUCCCAUCUAAUAUGAAACCAACCAAACACUAGAUAAUAAGAUUACUCAGCUGAGGAUGACUCAACCCAAGAUGAGUAAUCCGAGGAUAAGUAAUCCCCUCUCUUCCGGUCAUUGAACCAAAUGCACCCUAGGUGAAAUUGGGUUGAAAACUGCCAAUGCUGAUCUGUUUCCUUGUAUGUCUUCCAGGCAAAUGAUCCUACAAUAGAACGUAUCAUUACUCCUCGGAUUGCUCUGACCACUGCUGAAUAUCUGGCAUAUGAAUGUGGGAAGCAUGUCCUUGUCAUCUUGACUGAUAUGAGUUCUUAUGCUGAUGCUCUUCGUGAGGUAUGGGCCUGAUUUAACAUUUACUGUAUGAUGAAUAAAACUGCUGCUAUUUGAAAACCUUUACUGAGUAGAUUUGCCAGCACAUGUCUGAGACAGUUUAAGUACUUGUAUUGCAGGUUUCUGCUGCCCGAGAAGAAGUACCUGGAAGACGUGGCUAUCCUGGUUAUAUGUAUACUGAUCUGGCAACCAUUUAUGAGCGUGCCGGACGUAUUGAAGGGCGAAAAGGAUCUAUUACUCAAAUUCCUAUCUUGACUAUGCCCAAUGAUGGUAAUAUAUUUUAAAAAUGAAAAUCAAUUUUAUGAUUUUUUUUUGCAAUUUCACUGGAUUGUAUGCACUUACGGGGUCCUCCUGACUUUUUUAUUGUGCUUAUUUGUCAGAUAUUACACAUCCAACUCCAGAUCUUACAGGUUACAUCACAGAGGGGCAGAUAUAUAUUGACAGGCAGCUUCACAAUAGGCAGGUACAUGCUGCCAGUAAUUAUUUGCAUCUGUUUUGGUAUAUUAGGUCAUUGUAUAGGAAUGCAUCAAGUUGCUUGUUUGGGCAUUGUUAGAAUUGCGUUGUCCUGAAUUUUUAUUAAAUGAGGUAGGUACCAGAAGAAGUCUCAUGGUGAGUAACCCAGUCCUACAAUCAUAGGGAAUUUUUAGCCAAAGUAAGCCAUUGCAUUGGUUACAUGCAUGUUGUGGAUUUGUCAAAUUUAAGGCCAAAAGCAUAUAUUUGUAGGAAAUAAGCAAUUGAUUCACCUAUUGCUAAAUGAAUUAGUGCACGAGGUUUGCUGGAUAUCGGUCUUUUACCUUGUACUGGCUUUUUGGGCUACUGACCAUGAUAUUGAGUGUAAUUGUUUUCUCACUGUCUGAUGCAUUUUUCUUAUUUAAUUUUAACAUAUUUUUCCGUUGAAUUUUGUAUAGUAUUGCCUAAAACAGUAUAUUUUCCCUGCAAACAGAUAUAUCCUCCAAUCAAUGUACUUCCUUCGUUGUCUCGUUUAAUGAAGGUAAGUGAAGGCUCUACAUGGCUGUAUGCCAGGUUGAUGAUUUGACAAUUUUUUGACUGUACGUAUCAUCAAUGGUUGAACUUGUCAUUGCUUAAAAUGCUGCAGAGUGCCAUCGGUGAAGGGAUGACUCGCCGGGAUCAUGCUGAUGUGUCCAACCAGGUAUUGUUUGUUUUAGCAUUCCAAGCCUUUCUUUGCUGUUCCUUCUUUUGUUUGCAAACUUUUAAGAGAGAGGAGUUCAAGCUAUAAAUUUUUCUUUCAUGGUAUCGAUUCAUUAAUUGCUUGAUUGAUUUGUCUUCCUAUGAAAACUUCAGCUGUACGCAAAUUAUGCAAUUGGGAAGGAUGUGCAGGCAAUGAAAGCUGUGGUUGGAGAAGAAGCUCUUUCUUCUGAGGAUCUGGUCAGUUUAGGAAAAUUUGUUUCUUUUUCAUUCAAUUGAAGUAAUUGAUAUUUACAAUGAAGAGUAACAAUGUUGCUGAAAUCAACAGCUGUACCUGGAGUUCCUUGACAAAUUUGAGAGGAAGUUUGUUGCUCAAGGAGCAUAUGAUACCAGGAACAUUUUCCAGUCACUUGAUUUAGCAUGGACCUUGCUCCGCAUCUUUCCACGCGAGCUUCUCCACCGCAUUCCGGCGAAGACGCUUGACCAAUACUACAGUAGAGAGUCAGCUAAUUGAUGCCAAAACACCGAUUUCUGAACUUGAUCUCCUCGAUUUCUUUGCCUUGGCAUGAGCUUUUGUAUUUUUAUCUGUCGAGUUCGAGAAUAAAAUUUACAUCUUCUAGGAUCCCCUAGAGCAAUACUCUCCGGAAAAGCUGAAAGACACAGAUAUUCUUUUGUUGAGCGCAAUUAGUGUGUGUAAUUAUUAUCAUUAUUGUCGUUGCCCAAAUAUAUCACGGGCUUUGUCUGUUAAGUUGAAGGGGAUAUUCAGGGCUUCCAUAAGAUAUUGUUACGUCUGUUUUGCAUCUCGAAACAUGUAUUCUUGUGUUUUUUCAUGAAGGAUUCUUUUUUUUUCUUUUUUUUUUUUUGUCACAACGAUAAUAUUAGUAUAACCUAUUUUAGUCUGAUUUUGGAGGAGAGAAAGAGAGGCCUCACUGAUGGAGAGCCCUGUUGGAGGCAGCCACAUUUUAGUGACGGUCACAAUUAAGUAACAAGGUGGGAGGUAAGAAGGUGGGAGGUAAGGGUUGGCCACGAACGAUUCAUUGUGGCCAAGUACAUUCUGGUUAGUGAUUUAUGCUGUGUACGGCUGGUUUUGCUUUUAGCAUUAUUGAAAUGACAAAUUAGAUAUAUAUAUAUAUCUGUAUUGAAAAUAUUAGAGAUAUAUCAAUGCUCCAGCAAUCAUUCAAUUUCUGAUAGCUAAUUGCAGCAAGGGGCCUCCAUCAGAAACAAAGGUGAGAAAACUUGCUUGAUCCUUCCCAACGAAGAAAAGCAAUCACAUUUAAGGCCAAGUUUACUUGGUUCGAUCAUGGUUGUGUCCCAUAGCCAUAGGACAAGUGCGCGGAGUGCGGGAUUACAAAAGCUCAGCUUAGCUUAGCUUAAUGCAGCUGUACAAAUUCUGAUGCAAUACAAUGUCUAGGAUGAAUACACUCUCAGCCUCCUGAAAUUUUCUGCUCAAGGGAUUUACCAAAGAUAAAAAUUCACAGUAAAACUAAAGAUGCUUUACAUGAGAAAUUGGCUAAUAAUCGACCUAAAGUCACAGUAGCUCGAAGCUUCAGAUAUUUAAGCUGGUGGUACUAACUCAUGAUUUUCUGAUUUAACUAAUCAAGUCGCAUCCUAUAUUCUAUGAAAAGCUGUUGCACAUCAUCAAGGACCAUGGCAAGGCCACAACCAAAUUUGAACAUACAUACAGAGGUUCCCCGUCAAAGUUGCCAUGAAUUUGUUUUUUUCUUGGUGAAAACCAUCGUCUAUACCAAUUAACCAAGGUAAGUCAGAAAUUGCAAUUAUCUCGUACUAUUUUUUUACUCGUACUCUCCUAAAAAAUGGGGAAAAUGGUAAACGACCAAAAAUGUGAAAAACUUCAGCAAUCACCCACAGAAAAAAAAAAAAAAAGAAAGGAAGAUACGUGUUAUCCUGCUUUUGAUGUUCUAGCUACAGGUGGUAGCACAACCAAAUCAAGAUUCCCAGGAUAAGGGUUCCACAAGCCUAAUCCUCCCCUAGUCUCUUUCAAGCUAGGGUCUUUCUCAAACUCCUCUAAUGUUUUCACCCACUCUAUUGGGGACGAAUGUUCCCGAAUGUGUGGGUGCAGAAUAAAAAUUGAGUUGUAUUCACAGUUUGGGAACAUAAAAAAUUUGAAGAGACCUCCCAACCUGUAAACAACAUAGCCAAAGCUCAGCUGAUCUCUUGGCGUAAGGAGGUUAACCUCAUUAAACCAUAAGCAACUAAACAAAUUAUUCAUAGCAGUAUGUUCGCGAAUGAUAACGGCUCCUUCAGGCACAUCUGCAAGGAAUAGGAAUUUUGUCAGGAGCAUAAUACACCAUUAAAACGCUGAAUGAUGAAGAGAAAUGCAAGUGCUGCUAGCCUUUUUUUUUUUUUUUUUUAUCAGUAAAACAAACAGUGGUACUACAAGCAGGACUUUAGUAAUUCUCUCCAUAGAUAAAAGCAAGCAAUAAUUAUGAAGCAAAAUGAGAAGUUCUCAUACCACUCAAAGUGCCUUUCUUUGGAUUCCAUGGCUCCAUCCCCUCAUAGCGGUAAAUUCUCAUGUGGAGAUCUAUAAGAGGACGAGCAUAUCGCUUUCUACGUUUAUUAGCAUCAGCCUCCUCAUAUACACUUCUAUGAUGCUUGUGCUGUGCAAUUGCAAAUGUGUGCUUCCCCCGCCAUAGAUAUCUGAAGCAACAGAAAUUCUUGAGGUUAAAGAACUAUGAUAUAUAUGAUGUCGCAUACAGAUUUAAAAUCUAACUCUCCAAACUACUACUGCCAGAGGUGAGUUGAUCAUGACAGAAUGAGGCAUUAUACCUGACCUAAAAAUCGUGCGCAGAUUCUACCAUUAUUCAAAUACUAAAUGAACAAGGCCCAGAAAAUUAAAACCAAACGAAAAUCAAUCCUUCCUCUCCCCGACUUUGGUAUUAACUCUGUCCUACCCAAUACUUUACCAUGUUAUAAAUAGCCAAGACAAAAACCAAUUCCAAAUAACAGAUGAAUCCUACCGCAUUUUACACAGAAUAACCAGUAUAGUUUAGGCUACCAUAAAUUAUUAAAAGGACCAUACCUUUCUAAAAUUAGCAACGGAUCAACUAUAAGCUCCAUUUUACCAUCAAUCCAUAUGCUGUAUUGUGCAUGAGGAAAUAGUCGGUGGGUUAAUAUCUUUGGAACCUUUCCAUUCCUCCUGGGCUCAUCAUAAGGCGGAUGCUUCAGCAGAACUAGACGCCAGAUACCCACCCACUGCCCACCAGCCUCAUCCUUUCUAACUGUAACAUUUCCCUUGAUAAACUUAUAAGAUUCUUCAUCCACCACCAUCAGAAAACAAAAUAGCUUCCUCGAGCGCUGGCUUAUAUUGGAUGGUUGAUAAGGUAGAUCAUAUCCAUCAAAUAUACCAGAUGCAACAACAAAUCGACACUUCUUGGAAUAUUCGAUAUCCUUUGGGUCCAUUUCUGCACCACCAUUUUUCAUAAAACCACAAUGCACCUGAAGAAAGAAUACAUGUCUCAAAGCAAUCACAGGAGCUACAUGCCAAACUGUAAUAGUCCAUUGACCUACUAAACAUGAUUCAAGCAAAAUAUGUCAGAUUUAAAUGGGAAAAUGUGCAAGAACCAGUGUUAUUUACCUUCAUCGUAGGCUUUACUUUGAAGCUUUUAUCUCUUUGUUUCCAGGUCUGAUGUCCUCCAAAGAGAGGAGGCGAUUCAGAUCUAUGACUAGCCAUGUCAUCUUCCAUUAUAUAGGAUAAACUUUGAACAAAUCUCUCAGGGGAUCCUCUUUUUGGAAUUACUACAGUAUUAGGGUCAUCAGCGACAGGAAUUGGACAGCCUAGUGAAACAUUAAGAACAAAAAUACUAGUUAUGGACAUCAGGAAACAGAGAUUUGUGUGUAGCAGCAAUGAUAAGCAGCAGCGAUCUUACGGUGUGGUGGUCUAACAAGACCCAUUGUGUAUAGCUUGUCGAAUACCUUGCUAUCUUUGUUACAAAAAGCUGCAGACCAAAAAAUAACAUCAGAAAGCACCCUAGUUUUUAUACAUUAUCCACCACUCUAUUCCACACUAAACUGGAGUAUUGGCAAAUGUGCUGACAAUUUCCGGACGGCAUUGUAAGAUAUUUCUUUUAUGUUUCCCCUAAAGGCAUUAUUAUCCUUGCCUAAUGAGGGAUUUUCAUUAUUUACCUUAUGGUGAAAAGUUAGCUACUUGUUACACGAACUUCAAAAUUCAUUUAAACUCAUGGCGAAACACUGCUACUCCCCUAUUAUGGAAAAUAAAGUUGACAUUAUGCAUUUCAAUGAUUUUCUCGACUUUCAAAGCAUUGACGGUAUCAGCUACAAAAAAAAGCAUCUCUCCUAUCUUCCUUCUUUGGAUUUUCGGGGAAAAAAUUAACAAAGAAAACCUAUUGCUUCACGUAUAAUAGCGUGCACUGUGCACAACAAGAAAGAAUCGAGAAGUAUAAAACCAAAAAGUAAGUAAUGAGUUUAAAAAAUACGAGUACCUGAAAAGAAAGCAAGAGAAGAUUGACAAGACCAAAUAUGAAACAGUAAAGCAGAAAGAAUAAGUAGCAUCCAAAUAAUCCCAGCCACCAACACCAAUCUAAUAAAACCCUUCUUCCAUAUAAUCUUCAUUGAGAAAUCUGGCGCUGAGUUCCCACCACCACCUAAGAAACAUACACAAAGUAUACAAAUCCACGAAGUAAAAAAUAACAAUCAUGAUAAUAAUACUCAAAUUGUCAGAGAAAUACAACAAAAUAGUAGUACAACGGAUUAUGUUUAAGCAAAAAAAAAAAAGUUGUUACCUUUCUGGUAGGAUAAAUUAAUUCGGUCCGGCCUACGACUGGCCCGUAAUGAAACGGAACGUUGAAAAUCAUUGUCCAUUUCAAUGCAUAAAUGAUUCAGGGAAUUCGGGUAUCCCAAAUACUGAUUAGACAAAUAGCAGAAUGAAGUUUCCUGAGAGGAGGGAUCCAAAGGAGCUGUGAUUUUUAUUCAACUAGCGGAAAGUUUCAGCAAGAAUUGACAGGAAGAAAGCUCAACUGAAGAUACAAAGUUCAAUGUACCCUUGGAUCUACUUUGGACAAUUGGUAGUGAUAUACGUACUAGAAAGCUAACAAUUACAACCCAAAAAACAUAAAAAAGGAAAGGAGAGAGAUUCUGUGAUAUUCACCGAAAAAAAUUUUAAAAAAAAUGAAAACUGAAAAAUGAAUUAGAGAUUGAUAUAUUGUGCCAAAGUUCAAUUCUUGGCAAUGAAUUGCUUGGUUUGAAUGGUAGCCCGGGAGAGUUGUGGGGAGGAUGCAGAAAUUUCCCGGCAGUAAUACCUUUGUAUUGAAGAAGAAAGUGAACCUUGAAUCCCAAAGAGGGGCGCCUCCGGAUCGUCGUUUCUCCCUACAGUAGCCUAUUUAUACGUCUCUUCCGCUUUUCAGUUUGACGGUACGGCGCCGUUUUAUCAACCUCGCCAACAGCCUAACCCGACACCGACAAGGCUUGAAACCUUCCACCAACUGGGGAAGAUGUUAAACCGUGGGACUUUGGACGGGAAAACGUUCCCUUUUUUUUUUUUUUUUAAGAAAAAAAAAUAACUUUCGAGUUUUGACGGAAAACAUUCCAUAAAAAAGAAAAAAAAAAUAAAUCUUUUUGCUUCUUAUAUGAUCCUAGUUGGAAGGGGAAAAAUACGAUAACUAUUUUGGAAAGUGAAGUAAAUAAAGAAUUUUUUAUAGUACUUUGUUUUUUUAACUUUUCUUAACAUGAUGACCAUCGAACAUUUAAUUUUGUGCACUUUUAACCCUUCAAUUAUUAAUUGUAUUUUUUUGUUUCUAACAUUUUAAAAAGUUUGACCCUUCCAUAAAUUUUAAUUGGAGAAAAAACUUAAACAAAAGAAGAACAUUCUAAUGAAACCUUUUUUUUUUUUUCAGACUUUUGACGUUAGUUAAUUAAAUCUAAUCCCAAAUUUAAUCCUAAAAGCCGGCAACUCUUGAGACAAGUCUGGGGAUUUAACUACCUAACCCCCCAACUCCGAUGUGGGAUUACGGGAAAGUUAAUAGAACAGCCUCUACUAUGUCUUAAAGAAGAAUCCAUUACCCAGAUACCUCCCCUGGUAAUGAAACCUAUCUCAAGCAGCAUAUUUUUCCACCAACUAUUGUUGAUGACUAUUGCAACUAUUCGUGUCUAAUCAAUAACUAUUAAUUGCUGUUGAUUAAAGAUUGAUUAAUAUUUUAUUGGAGUCAAAUUUUAACGAAGUUAUACAUGUGGAUUUUGCUUUUAAUGUAAGUACCAAACUUUGGACUUGAUUUUCUGUGAAUCUCGCAAAAUACGGUCAUAUUAAGAAUCAAAGAUUGACAAAAAUAUUGUACUAUAUCAUUUUAUUAAAAAAUACUCUAUCAUUUUAAUGAAAGUUUUGGCACGAAAUUCUCUAAUAUGCUAUAACACAAUUAUGCACUUUACUAUAGUUUCCAACUACUUCAAUGCACGAUUCACAUUAAAUUCUCCCAUAGUUUUAUACUAAUAAAAUUCUCACAUCAUGGACACCUAGAUGCCUGUUUGGAAUCUGAGUUUUUUGGAAGUUUGUCUAAAACUUUACUGUAGUGUACUGUAGAAGUUUUUGGAAAAAUUUUUUAAGAUGAAAAAAAUUUUUAAGUUUUUUUAAGAAGUUUUUUGGAAGUUUUUUUCCUUUUCUUUUUUUUUUUUCUUUUUUUUUCUUUCCUCUCUCUUCUUCUUCCUCUUCCUUCCCACUCCCCUUCCCUCCCCCGUUACUUCUGCGUUG
rnacentral:lncRNA from 1 species